CAAUAUUCGUGGAGAAAGAAUCGUAAUAAAUGUAAAGAAGAGGCAUCUUUUACCCAAUAGCGAAGAGUUUGAACCAAGAUUUCCAGAUGAACGGGGUAGGGUAUUAGUAUAUCUAAUACAUAAUUUAGAUGUGAAAAAUUGUCCUCUAAAAAAGGAAAUGUUGAAUGAAUUGAUCGUAAAUUAUGAGAUUUGAAAAUCUUUUUGCCUUCGAAAGAAGAUAAAGAAGAUAUUAAUCGUAUAGAAAACGGAAUUUCUACAAUACAUGCAAAUCCCUCUGAUAUCAUUUGAGAAUACAAACUCUUGUUGCACCCCAAAAACGGAUUUUUGUUAGAAUCAUUAGUAGAAAUAAUCAAAUGAUUCUGUUGAUCCAUUCGAGUAAUUAACCGUUUCACAAUUAGGAAACUAAAUUUAUUGUUAUAACCUGAAUUUUCCAACAAAAUCGACCUAUUUCUAUUUAAACCAUGAUCCUGAGCAAGUGCAUAAAUAUACUCCUGAAAGAUAAGUGGAUAUAGGAAGUUGUGUUGUUGCGAGCUAUCCGGCUGUAAAUAUCUGUGGAUUUCUUCCAUUUGAAAUUCGAUUUGAACCAAAGAUGGAAGAUUUUGAGGGUUAUCAAAUGAUACAUAGUGCGAUACAGUUAAAACAAAGUAUUGUAGUAAGAAUAGAUACCUUGAAUACAGGUAAACUUCUCAACGGAUUCUCUAUCAUCUCUUUUUUUUUUCGUUUCAUUUAAUUGGUCUAUGUUAUAGUGUUAUAGGAUAAUAAGAUGUUUAGAAAUCCUUUAUUUUUUCAACCUAAUCGCUCUUUUGACUUCGGAAAAAACUUUCUUUAUCAAUAUACUGUUUCUUCUACACACAUCUCCAUAAUCGAAAAUGGUAAUAGUUAGGAUUCAUUAAAAAAAUUGAGAACACACUCAUGGGACAAGAAACCCUUCCCGCACCAGGCACUAAUAAAUUUUUAACGUCUAAUUAGAUCGGGAAUCAUUCAAAUUAAGAACAAAAGCUCGUUGCUUUUUCUUUCCCUAUAAUUUAAUUGAAGCCGCAGCCUUAUCCAUUUAUUCAUUCGACCCAACUUUAUUUUGUUCCGUUCCAAGAAUUCUAACACAGUUUUAUACCCAUCUAGGAACAAUGAAAUAUUUUCAGAACUUUCCGUUGAUACGACAUGCUAUUUUUACCAUUCAUUCCCUUUCAGGAUCAGUCGCGGUCUUCCAAACUUUACCGAGAGUAUGGACGAAUCCCUCACCUCAUCCAUAUGUGUAAAAGACACUAGCCGCACUUAAAAGCCGAGUACUCUACCGUUGAGUUAGCAACCCGAAGAAAAUAUCGAAAAAAUUAUGUAGAUCCAAUCCGAAGAAAAAGAAAUAACUAGAUUAGACAAGACAACCAAAAACCAUUGAAAGAAGAAAUCGAAAAAAAUACAUUCACACUUUCGAAUUCAUUUAAAACAUAAAAUAAAACUAAAUAGAUCCACUUCAUUUAUCACAAUGAAUUAUAUUUGUUCGAUACACUGUUGUCAAUAUAAAUAUUGAAUAUUGAAAAAAAAAAAGUGGAAAACAAAACUACAAUUUACUUAAAUUUACUUAGAUUUAUUGAAUUCAUAAUGGAUUCAAUCAAGUUAACUGAGAUAAGCAAACUUGAUUUCAUUCCGAAAUGCCCGAAUUAACUAUUUAGAAGAUCAAUAAAAUAAGAGGUUUUGUCGUUAUAGAACACGGAAUUCACUGGAAGCAAUGAUAAAUAAAUACAAAUAGAAAAGGAAAGGGAGGAAAUACAAAAAAAUAGAAGAGAAAAGUCAUACAAAGUUAUAUACAAAUCACUACCCCCUUUUUUGUAUUUCCUUAAUUUAUUUCCUUAAUUGAAUUUCGGUUGAUUAAGACGAAGUUCCUUAAAAACCUCUGCCUUCUUUAAAAUAUCCUGAACAGUUUCUGUAGGUUGAGCCCCUUUUUCAAGGAAAUAUAAAAUAGCAGGAACAUUUAAAUAAGUUUGAUUCUUUAUCGGAUCAUAAAAACCCACUUUCUGAAGAUCUUUUCCUUCUCUUCGGGAUCGAACAUCAAUUGCAACGAUUCGAUAGACGGCUCAUUGGGAUAGAUGUAGAUGAACAACACCCCCCCUAGAAACGUAUAGGAAGCUUUCUCCUCGUACGGCUCGAGAAAAAUGAUUGAUUCGAAGUUUUGUCUUUGUAUGGAAUUCUAUCUAAGAAAUGACAACUGGAUCCAUAAAAUGAUCAAAGCAAUUAAAGAUCUAAGUCUUUUUUUCUUCGUUCUUCCUUAAAAUGAAAAAUAAACCAUUCGUACUCUCAUAACUCAAGUUGGAUAACUUUCAAACAGUUCAAAGGAAAAUCUUUCGGCAAUUUCAUUUAUUGAGCGGUCUUUCCUCCUUUUUUGUUUGUCUCGUUUAAAAUCGGAUUCUUCAGUCUGAUCCAGUUAUUAAGACAAUUAAAAAGGUGUUUCCUUGUUCUGGGAUCCUUUAUCUUUGUUUUAUUUUAAAUCAUUGGGUUUAGACAUUACUUCGGUGCUUUUUAAUCCUUUCAAAAUGGCAGCAACAUACCCUUUUUGCGAUUUUUAUGAAAGAAUCCUACAAGAUGAUGGAUUCCCUCGUGAAACACUUUGGAUCGAAAAAGUUUGAUCAAUUCCAAUAAAUUUUUUAAUUUGAAACUUGCUCGAAUUGGAUUCUUUCGAUUUCCAUACCUAAGAUAUAUUAGAUAUAUUUACGAAGUUGUUUCAAUUGUUUUAUUGAUUGGCAUUAACCCUAGACCCUUGCCCCGAGAAAGAAAUUAAUACUUUCUACUCGAGCUCCAUCAUGGACUAUUUACAUUCCAAGACAACAAAAAACGAGGGGUUCUAGUGAAACAGAACCAAUGAUGUCGAGUUAAGAGCACCUUCAUUCCUACAAAAAAUGGUGGAUGUACAAAUCCACAACGGAUCGUGUCCUUCAAGUCGCACGUUGCUUUCUACCACAUCGUUUCAAACGAAGUUUUACCAUAACAUUCCUCUAAGAACCGGUAUGGAAUUGAUUCAAUUAUGGAAUCAUGAAUAGUCAUUGGUUGGGCUGAUGUAUAAACACCAUAAUCUAAAGUAUUUUCUAUAUCUUCUAUAUCUAUAGUAUAUAGAUAUAAAUAAUACUAUAGAUUAAUACUAUAGAUAUAGGGUGGAUAAAUAUUUUUCUGAAGAAGUCUUAGUAAGACCCCAUCGCUAAUAUUAAAUUGUCUAACAUUAUAAUAUUAAUUAAUAAAUAUAUAUAAUAAAAAAUUUUUUUAUAUAAAUAAAAUAAGACGAAUAAACGAAUUCUUUUUAAUUCUGCAUCUUCACGUGACUUAAUAGGAGAGAAAGAUUCAGCUUCUAAGGAAUGAUUUAAACUAUUUCUCUUUCGAAAUUUCGAAUCAAUUUCGAAAGUUCCCCUCUCGACAUCAUUAUUCCAAGAAAAUUUGAUAGUUAAAAAUAACUUUUGAUCAUCUUAGGAAAAAAGAUAAGUCUUUUUUUUUUUUUUUUCAUCUGAUUAAUAAAAUCCAAAGAAUGGGGAGGGUUUCGUAUCUAUCAAUUCGAUCAAAUAGACUGAGCAAUUGUCACCGUUUAUAGAUAUUGAAAUGAACGCCUUCCCAUCACUGAUUAACUCCUAUCUACCCCAUUCUCUGGGACUGAUGCAGCAUAAAUCAAAAGAAGGGGAUGUCCUAGUCUUUUUUUUACGAAAUGCGAGCUGGCUGGGCACAAAGCCAAACAAGCCCAGAUUAAGUCCAGUUUUUGCUCCUUUUUUCUAUUUUAGCCUACCUCAUUGAUUAAGAAUUAAGAGACUUAGUGAAUUGAAUUAGUACCAAAAACCCCUUCUUGGCGAAAAGUCAAGAAAUCCACAAAAAAGCAAAUUGAAUCUAAUUAGGCUAAUUUAGGGGGUAGAGAAUAUGAGAUAGGGAAUAUGGAUUCUUUCGUAUCUCGAUUCAGUUUUUGAAAAAAAAAAAAACGAUUCAUCGAAGAAAAAAAUCAGAAACAACAAUCACAUUCCAGCUAACAUUUCGAUUUUAAACAGAACAUUGUUAAAAAAGCAAUCUAUAUUGUCAGAGAAUAUAUAUGUUCUGGGACGGAAGGAUUCGAACCUCCGAAUAGCGGGACCAAAACCCGUUGCCUUACCACUUGGCCACGCCCCAUUUAGAUUUCUAUGCGAUACUAAUAAAGUAUAUUGCUGGUUUUGUUUGUUUGUCAACUCUAGCCCAAAUAUCUAUAGAAUCGAUUAGAUUGGUAUUCGGAUUUUUCUAUGUUUUUGGUAUGUGUAGAUAUAGAAUUCAACUUAAUUUAUUGAUCAUUACAUAUAAUUCAAUUAAGAUAUUGUAUGAAAAUAUUAUUUUUUCGAUUCUCCUUUUCUCAAAGGAGGAUUUUUGAUUGGGUGGGUUCAAAGAAAAAGAAGGAUUUUUUGUUUACCUUACUUACUUUCCUUUUCCUUAUAACUUACUUUCCUUUUCCUUAUAUAAAUAACUCAAUCAAAAUGCAAUUAUCUCCAAGAACAAAAAGUCUGUUAUGCUUAAUACCUUUAGUUUGAUCGGUAUCUGUCUUAAUUCGACCCUUUAUUCGAGUAGUUUUUUCUUCGGCAAAUUGCCCGAGGCCUAUGCUUUUUUGAAUCCAAUCGUAGAUAUUAUGCCAGUCAUACCUCUGUUCUUUUUUCUCUUAGCCUUUGUUUGGCAAGCUGCUGUAAGUUUUCGAUGAGAUCCUUAAUAAUAUCCUAGAAAAUUCAUGAUUUAUUCGAGAAAAAAUUCGAAAAUCAAUAAAAUCAGAUAAGCUUUACCGUUUGAAAUCUCGAUUCAAACAUUGAAAUUCUUGGAUAGUCACGAGAAAUCCGGCUUAACUUAAUUUCCUUCUUUUUUGGCGCUUUCCUUUCCAGUGAAAGACCUUAUUAGGCUCCUCUUGUAUAUAUAAAAAAUUUGGUUAAUGACAAACUCUUAUUAUAAAAGAAUUUCUGAAAAUUCUUUUAGAGAAAAAGCUUCGUUGCUUGGUGUCAAACUAGGAUAUGCGAUGGAUGAUCUAU
rnacentral:lncRNA from 1 species